rnacentral:rRNA from 1 species
CCUACGGGAGGCAGCAGUGAGGAAUAUUGGUCAAUGGACGAAAGUCUGAACCAGCCAAGCAGCGUGAAGGAUGACUGCCCUAUGGGUUGUAAACUGCUUUUAUAUGGGAAUAAAACAGGGUAUGCAUACCCUCCUGUAUGUACCCUAUGAAUAAGGAUCGGCUAACUCCGUGCCAGCAGCCGCGGUAAUACGGAGGAUCCUAGCGUUAUCCGGAUUUAUUGGGUUUAAAGGGGGCGUAGGUGGAUUGUUAAGUCAGUUGUGAAAGGUUGCGGCUCAACCGGAGAAUUGCAUGUGAAACUGGUAGGCUGGAGUGUAGUAGCGGUGGGCGGAAGUCGGGGUGUAGCGGUGAAAUGCUUAGAGAUCACGCAGAACUCCGAGUGCGGAGGCAGCUCACUGGACUGCAACUGACAGUGAUGCUCGAAAGUGUGGGGAUCAAACAGGAUUAGAUACCCGUGUAGUC